rnacentral:lncRNA from 1 species
AACCGUUGAAAUAUGGUAUUCGUAUUCUUUCUGAUUAUUGAAUUUGAUUUCGUAUAAGUAUCGUUGACAUCUGAUAAUCGGAUAUUGUGAUAUGAUUUAUGAACCGAAGAAUUUUAGAAGAAAAUUUAUUGAAUUAUGUGAAUUUAUUGGAAUACAUUCGAAGUAAGUAAUGUUUCACUUUUUUUAGAUUUAUCAAUAAAUUAUAAUAUAUUUUUCUAACAUAAUUUGUGAAACAAUGAUGAAUUGGAGGAAUGAUAUUUUGUUAUGAAAAUAUCUUAUUCGAAAUGUUAUAAUGAAGCAUGAUUG